rnacentral:lncRNA from 13 species
AGAGCAACACUGUGAUGUAGGGCAAAAAUCAUCAAUGGAACAUCUCUUUCUGAAGAUGUCAGGGCAAGAGUUGGCCCAGAUAAUUAUUUCAUAGAUAGUCAUCUUGAAUAGACCCUCUGUCUGCCUUUCAUGUUCUGCUUCAAAGACAAGAGAAAGGAAGGUACGACGCUACUCGGAAACCGAAUGACUACUGCCUCUGUCUGUCUGUCUGUCUGUCUGUCUGUCUGCCUUUCAUGUUCUGCUUCAAAGACAAGAGAAAGGAAGGUACGACGCUACUCGGAAACCGAAUGACUACUGCCUCUGUCUGUCUGUCUGUCUGUCUGUCUGUCUGUCUGUCUGUCUGUCUGUCUGUCUGUCUGUCUGUCUGUCAGUCUGUCUGUCUGUCUGUCUGUCUGUCUGCCUGUCUGUCUGCCUUUCAUGUUCUGCUUCAAAGACAAGAGAAAGGAAGGUACGACGCUACUCGGAAACC